CAAACUCUUUUAUUUAAAUCAAAAAGAAAUGUCGCUUAAAAUUAUCAAAAUUAUUAUAAACAAUCAAUAAUUCAAAAAAAAAUUUAAUUAAAUUUCAUCUCCAUUCAUCGAUCAUAAAAAAAAUUCAUUCAAAACUAAAUUUGUUUGUUAAAUUAUUCUCAACAACCCAAGGACUCAUCGAAUUGUAUCCUCCCAGCAACAAAAAUCAAAAUGUUAUUCAAAAAAAAAUUUAUCAAAAGAUGCAACUUUAUAACCCCAACCCAUCCGGAGUUCUUCAAAAAUUCUUGAAAUUUUAAUUUUAUCUUUAUCUAAUCUCUUAUUUUUGUUUAUUUUUUUUUUGUUUUUGUAGGUUAAAUCAAUUAAUUCCUUUAGGCACCGCACUUUUCUUAAGGACUAUCUCAACUACCUUACCGACACUUCCUAUUUAAUUUGUUUAAAUUCGUUUUGUUCACUUUUUGUUUUGAUGGUUUAUUUCCAGCAACGAUUCUUCCGAUGACCCUUGUUCUGUCUCGCAGUUGGAGCUAUUCAAUGGCUCUAAGAGGAACCGGAGUCGUUUUUGGAUUUAGUCAAACAAUGAAGUUUUGUUGUCUUAUGAGAUGAAUCCUAUAAUCCUACAGACGUUCAAAAAAUUUCAAAAGUUUUUCAUUAGAUACACCCCUUCGAGGAAUAUAUAUCACGUGCUUCCUUACCUUUAAAAAAAAUGUAUGCACUUGCCUCAAGAAACCUUAGUUUGCUUUUUUGUUUUGGAGUCAAGGGAAACCUAUAUGGCUCGUGGAUUCAAGACCACCUCGAUCAACAGGAUGGACCAAAAAACGUCGAAGUGUCUUAACUCUCUCCCUGUUGCGUUGAUGGCUUGAAGUUAAGUCUUGACUACUUGUUUUUUCUUUCACGAAUCGUGAAUCAAGGGGAGAUUAUUAGAUUAGAGCUAUAUAGUAUAUAACCCUGGAAGACUAGUUAAAGAAAAUCUCGAGCGGAUUUAAUUUUUUUGAUGCGAACCUACCAAUGUUCGUUCCUUGAUCAAGAUUUCGAUGUGAUUCCUCAAAGGAUCUUAUUUUCAACAAGAAAGAACCUUUCUCCAAGCAAGAAUUUCAAUGAUUAAGAUUUUUGAUCAAUGAAAAAGUUUCUCCGAGGUGAUGGGAAGAUUAUUAGAGAAUUAACUAUUGUCUUAUAGAAAUUCUGGAAUGUAUCAGCGUCGUCGGUCAAAAAAAAAGGAUGUUUGACCACAUGCAAAACUGGAUGCUGGUCGCCGCUGAUAAAAAAAAUGUGAUUUUUAUAUUUCUGAUGGGAUUUUUUUUUUUGUUGAAGUAUGUACUUACUUAACAACUGUAUAAGCGGGAUCGCUUGCGCAGCGUACUCCCUGGACAAUAUAUUUUCGAUUAUCGAUUCCUCGACAA